GCUUUUGUGGUUUUGGAUGAACUCGCGGCCUAUCAGCUUGUUGGUGGGGUAAUGGCCUACCAAGGCGACGACGGGUAGCCGGCCUGAGAGGGUGACCGGCCACACUGGGACUGAGACACGGCCCAGACUCCUACGGGAGGCAGCAGUGGGGAAUAUUGCACAAUGGGCGCAAGCCUGAUGCAGCGACGCCGCGUGAGGGAUGACGGCCUUCGGGUUGUAAACCUCUUUCAGUAGGGAAGAAGCGAAAGUGACGGUACCUGCAGAAGAAGCGCCGGCUAACUACGUGCCAGCAGCCGCGGUAAUACGUAGGGCACAAGCGUUAUCCGGAAUUAUUGGGCGUAAAGAGCUCGUAGGCGGUUUGUCGCGUCUGCUGUGAAAGACCGGGGCUCAACUCCGGUUCUGCAGUGGGUACGGGCAGACUAGAGUGCAGUAGGGGAGACUGGAAUUCCUGGUGUAGCGGUGAAAUGCGCAGAUAUCAGGAGGAACACCGAUGGCGAAGGCAGGUCUCUGGGCUGUAACUGACGCUGAGGAGCGAAAGCAUGGGGAGCGAACAGGAUUAGAUACCCUGGUAGUCCAUGCCGUAAACGUUGGGCACUGGGUGUGGGGGACAUUCCACGUUUUCCGCGCCGUAGCUAACGCAUUAAGUGCCCCGCCUGGG
rnacentral:rRNA from 1 species